rnacentral:rRNA from 1 species
GACGAACGCUGGCGGCGUGCUUAACACAUGCAAGUCGAACGAUGAAGAAGAGAAACGCGAACUUCGGUUCAAAUUUCACUUCGGAUUAGUGGCAGACGGGUGAGUAACGCGUGAGCAACCUACCUCUUACAAAGGGAUAGCCUCGGGAAACCGUGAUUAAUACCAUAUGACACCUUCAUAAGGCAUCUUAAGAAUGUUAAAGCUACGGCGGUAAGAGAUGGGCUCGCGUCCCAUUAGCUAGUUGGUGAGGUAACGGCCCACCAAGGCGACGAUGGGUAACCGGCCUGAGAGGGUGAACGGUCACAUUGGAACUGAGACACGGUCCAAACUCCUACGGGAGGCAGCAGUGGGGAAUAGUGCACAAUGGAGGGAACUCUGAUGCAGCGACGCCGCGUGAGCGAUGAAGGAAUUCGUUUCGUAAAGCUCUGUUCUAUGGGAAGAAAAGGACUGUACCAUAGGAGAAAGCCCCGGCUAAAUACGUG